GGGUGCAGGUAUAUAUUUACUUGAAGUGACGUCACAGGUCGACAAGGUGAUGAAAAUGUCUUUUUCGUGCCACGUCCCUACAUCGGUCAGAGCAUUGAACGCAGGAGAUAAGAUGUCAUGUUAGAGCUGAAUGAGAGUUCGGUGAGACCACUUUUCGUAAACUGUGCAUUAUUCUGCUCACUCUGGUGCAGGAAGGAUAAUAUUAAUUUUGAAAAGGAGCAAGGAAAGAUUUACAAGGCUGUUACCGAGACUGGAAGUGCAUGGAUUUUGUCAAAGAGCGCAUGAGGUUGAUCACUAAAGCCGUGAAGAUUCCGGGCACUUACGAUCUGUGUGGGAAAACCCAUCCAGUGUGAAGGAAGUUUGCACAAAUUCACUGCCAGUCGUUUUGUCGAAUAUGGAAUAUUUAUGGGACGCAGCCUGACAGGAAACUUUAACCGUUUCCAAUCAACAAAACAUCUGUCUUUAAAAUAAAAUGAUAUGGGUAAACUGCAGGCAAAGUGAAUUGCUUCCAUUUCGUAAACAAUGUUCACAUGGACACGAGGGGCCGAAGUGUCUGUUUCGAUGCUAUAUACCUCUGGGACCCUUUGAACAAUUCUCUAUUCAUUGAGCUUGACCUUUCAGCAAUAGGAGACAAGAAUAGAGACCUCCUUCACCCUCUCCCACUUAUUGUGCCUUCCUGCCAAGUUGCCCAUCACCCGAGACCCCGGA